GACGAACCGUGCGAACGUUGUUCGGAAUCACUGGGCUUAAAGGGCGCGUAGGCGGGCGACCAAGUCAGGGGUGAAAUCCUCCGGCUCAACCGGAGAACAGCCUUUGAUACUGGUCACCUCGAGGGAGGUAGGGGCAUGUGGAACUUCCGGUGGAGCGGUGAAAUGCGUAGAUAUCGGAAGGAACGCCGGUGGCGAAAGCGACGUGCUGGACCUCUCCUGACGCUGAGGCGCGAAAGCUAGGGGAGCAAACGGG
rnacentral:rRNA from 1 species